GAGCAAAGGCACAUCUUACAUGGCAGCAGGCAAAAGGCGCAUCUUACAUGGCAGCAGUGUCUUUUGCAGCGCACCUCAGGAUAAUUUUAUUUCUGGAAACUCGGAUUUCUUCUAUGCCACUGGGCUUUAGUCUGGACCAAAAUUACUCUGUUUUGAAAUUCCUUCCCCAGAGACUGCAUUCUUCUUAAGCAGAUUGAACCACAUCCUCCCUAAUAACCAAUUUUGAAUAGUAGGGAUCUCAGAUCAACUCUACUCAGUCACAGAAGGCUCUGAAACACCCAAAUCUGAUGACAUGCUGUCUAGACACUCACAUUUGCCUGAAAGGGUCACACAGAUGGCCUAUGACAGGAAAGACAUCUGACUAAAAAAACUUCUUGGGGCCACGCACAGUAGCUCAUGUUUCUAAUCCCAGCACUUUGGGAGGCUGAGGCGGGCAGAUUGCUUGAGGCCAAGAACUUCAGAUCAGCUUGGCCAACAUAAAACCCUGUCUCUACUAAAAAUACAAAAAGUAGCUGAGUGUGCUGGCGUGUGCCUGUAGUCCUAGCUACUGGGGAGGCUGAGACAGGAGAAUUGCUUGAGGCGCAGGUUGCAGUGAGCUGAGAGCCCGCCAUUGCCCUCCAGUCUGUGUAACAGAGUGAGACUUCAUCUUAAAAAAACAAAACAAAACAAAACCUUCUUGAUUAAAAUAUAUAGUUCUGAAACUAUUCUGUAGGACACUGUAAUGAUGGAUAUAUAUAAUUAUGUAUUUGGCAAAACCUAUAGAAUGCAUAACACAAGGAGUGAAUCCUAAUGUAAACUAUGGACUUUAAUAAUAAUAAUGUCAUUAAUUAUAACAAAUGCAUCACAUUAAUUCAAGAUGCUAGUAAUAGGGAAAAUUAUGGAUAUGUAUGUGUGUGUAGUGGGUAUAUGGGAACACUCUUUACUCCGUGAUGAAUUUUUCUGUAAACCUGUAACUGUUCUAAAAAAAAAGUCUAUUAAUUAAAAUGAGUACACUGCCUCAAA